UGGCUCUCGCAUCGAUGAAGAACGCAGCGAAAUGCGAUAAGUAAUGUGAAUUGCAGAAUUCAGUGAAUCAUCGAAUCUUUGAACGCACCUUGCGCUCCUUGGUAUUCCGAGGAGCAUGCCUGUUUGAGUGUCGUGAAAUUCUCAAUACCUCUCUUUCUUGAUUGAAGGAGUUGAAUUGGACUUGGGGAUUGCUGGUUUCAAAUUGGCUUCCCUUGAAUUCAUUAGCUGGAGAUUGACUUUGCAGCAUAUAUGCGGUGUAAUAAUGUUUUCACUGUGUAGCUCAAGGUGUACCUAGCUUCAAACCGUCUUUGAAAAAUAAGACAGCUUUGACAAUCAGACCUCAAAUCAGGUAGGACUACCCGCUGA
rnacentral:misc_RNA from 1 species